rnacentral:lncRNA from 1 species
AAAAAUCUAAACUCAUUGAAUAUAUUUCUUAUUUUGAAAAGUCGUCAAAGCCUCAAUAUGCCUUCAAAUCACAUGAAAUAAAUUCUUAAAAAUCCCUUCACAAGUUUGCUCUGAAAUUUUGCUCUCUAAUCUAUCAAACAACCCUAGCAUCAAUGUAAGUGUACAAUUUUAUGCCUUAAGGUUUGAUUUCAACAUUGGUUUGCAAAUGGUCCUCUUUGAGUAUGAAUUCUUCAUAUUUUGAGGUGUUUCUUUGUUAAAACCUAUUCUUAAUUCCUUUCUAAAAAUGCCUAUGUUAAUUUUUUACUUCAUUUACUUUGAUUUGGUUCACCUAAGUCCUUACAAAAUAAAUAGAAGUUUCUUCUUCAAUAAGGCAAUAUUAACAUUUAUUAAUUUUUAGUAUCUCCUUGUCUAUUAUCUAUAUUUCUAAGAUAAUUUCCUAAAAUAUUUUCAUUUAAGCUCCUUUAUAAUAUAAUCUUUUCUUUCUUCUUUUACCAUAUAGAAGUAUUACCACACAACAAUGGUCUCUUUUCUUCUCUUCCUUAUCUUGAUGCAGAUCUCAUCUCUCUUCUUUGUCUUCAUCCUCUUUUCUAAUAAAGAUAAGGAGGAUGGCACUAAGACCUUUGAUGAGAAAAGGAGGGGAGGAUCAAGACUCAUGUUUGGAUAAAGAAGAGAGGUGAGACUUGCAUCGGGGCAAAGAAGAGAUGGAGGAGGUUGGGACCCCUAUCAAAGAAAGAGAGAGAAAGAAGAGAAUUAGGAAUGAUCCUAAGACAAGGAAAUAGAAAUCUAGAUGAAUCAAUUAAAAGCCUUAGGUGUAUAUAUAGACAUUAUAGAUAUGCAUACAUCAACUUAGGAAGUUCUUGUGGCUUGAGCUUAUUUUAUAUUCAUCCUUUCCAUCAAAAAAUAACAUAUAAUUUUAUAUAAUUAUAAAAUAUUUUUUAAUUUUAAAUGAAUAUAAUUAUUAUCUAUAUAAAUCUUUUAUGCAAGUGUAUGUAUCUAUGUAUGUAUGUAUAUAUAUAUAUAUAUAUAUAUAUGCAUCAAUUACAAUCAUUCAUAAAGUUUUUCUUUUCAUUAACUAACACAAUCAUGACUUAAGUUUUGAUUCAGCUUCUAAUACAAUUUUUGUAUUUUGUAUAUAUGUAUUUGUAAUGUAAUGAUAAUAAUAAGAAUCAUAAACACAAAAAAGACAUGCAUUAAAGAGAUAGACAAGGAACAUAAACAAAUUUUCUCAUCAAGUCAAACUUUUUUCAAAUUCAAAUUUCAAUUUCUUUUCACCAAAGAUGUCUCCAAAGCCGUAUGCAAAAUUUGACCUGAAAUACUGACGUAGUUCUUAAAGAGUGCUCACAAAGACAGAAACAUCUGCAAAGCAAAUUAUAAUCUAACAAAUCAGCUCACAUCUGAUUUUUCCAUUUUGAUUUUCCUCACAUUGAAUGAUGCAAAUUCCAACACAAGUUCUUACUACCAUAUGUAUGUGUGUGUGUGUGUGUUUACAUAUAUAUAUAUAUAUAUAUAUAUAUGAUUAAAAAGAGAGAGAUGUGUGUGUUUAUAUAUAUAUAUAUAUAUAUAUAUAUAUAAAUAAAAAGAGAGAGAUGUGUGUGAAUUUUGAGGUACAAUACCAACACACAACCGACGGUGGCAAGCCGAAGCUUCCAAAGGCAUCGAGAACAGCAACCACAGCAACCCCGUUGUCGACAACGGAAAUUGAGGUCAAUCGCAACCGUCUUCGCGUGCCAAUGUGUAUGCCCAUCCUCAAUCGCACUCACUCACUUACCCCCACUCCCGCACUCCCCCACGGCAUCCAUCC